GAUGAACGCUGGCGGCGUGCCUAAUACAUGCAAGUCGAGCGAACGGACGAGAAGCUUGCUUCUCUGAUGUUAGCGGCGGACGGGUGAGUAACACGUGGAUAACCUACCUAUAAGACUGGGAUAACUUCGGGAAACCGGAGCUAAUACCGGAUGAUAUUUUGAACCGCAUGGUUCAAAAGUGAAAGACGGUCUUGCUGUCACUUAUAAAUGGAUCCGCGCUGCAUUAGCUAGUUGGUAAGGUAACGGCUUACCAAGGCAACGAUGCAUAGCCGACCUGAGAGGGUGAUCGGCCACACUGGAACUGAGACACGGUCCAGACUCCUACGGGAGGCAGCAGUAGGGAAUCUUCCGCAAAGGGCGAAAGCCUGACGGAGCAACGCCGCGUGAGUGAUGAAGGUCUUCGGAUCGUAAAACUCUGUUAUUAGGGAAGAACAUAUGUGUAAGUAACUGUGCACAUCUUGACGGUACCUAAUCAGAAAGCCACGGCUAACUACGUG
rnacentral:rRNA from 1 species